rnacentral:rRNA from 1 species
AUUGAACGCUGGCGGCAGGCCUAACACAUGCAAGUCGAGCGGAUGACGGGAGCUUGCUCCUUGAUUCAGCGGCGGACGGGUGAGUAAUGCCUAGGAAUUUGCCUGGUAGUGGGGGACAACGUUUCGAAAGGAACGCUAAUACCGCAUACGUCCUACGGGAGAAAGCAGGGGACCUUCGGGCCUUGCGCUAUCAGAUGAGCCUAGGUCGGAUUAGCUAGUUGGUGGGGUAAUGGCUCACCAAGGCGACGAUCCGUAACUGGUCUGAGAGGAUGAUCAGUCACACUGGAAGUGAGAUACGGUCCAGACUCAUACGGGAGGCAGCAGUGGGGAAUAUUGGACAAUGGGCGAAAGCCUGAUCCAGCCAUGGCGCGUGUGUGAAGAAGGUCUUCGGAUUGUAAAGCACUUUAAGUUGGGAGGAAGGGCAGUAAGCUAAUACCUUGCUGUUUUGACGUUACCGACAGAAUAAGCACCGGCUAACUCUGUGCCAGCCGCCGCGGUAACAC